UUUUAAUUAAACCAUGAUGAUUAACUCAUAAAUAAAAUAUACAUAUAUUACAAUGCCAUCAUCAUAUGAGAGAAGAUAUUUCAGUUCAAGGGUUUUUCCAGUGUAAUGAUAUUUUGCAUUGGCAGCUCAUGCCUCAGUGCUCUGGGAGUGUUUAUAGUCCUGUGAAUGAUUUUAACACACAAGAUCUGUCCACUCGAAAACAGAAGCCAAUAUGAUUCUCUUCAUCUGGGCAUUUAUCUGCAUCCAAGGCUCUUUGGGACAGGUCGUUGUUACUCAACCUGAGGUUAAAUCAGUUCAGCUUGGUCAAACAGUCUCUAUUGAUUGUAAGGUCAACACUGUAGUUUAUAGGUAUCCUGAGGGUUCAGUAUCCAAAGAUUACUACAUCUCCUGGUACAUUCAGAGGCCAGAGGAACCCCCUAAACUCCUUAUAUAUUACACAACAAUGAAGCCCUCAAGUGCUCCAUCUAGAAUGAGCGGUGGAGGCAGUUUUCACUCUGGAGGAAAUGGUCUUGAUUUCACUCUGACCAUCAGUGAUGCCCAGCUUGAAGAUGCGGGAGAUUAUUACUGUCAGAGUUACCAUGAGAUCAGUGGCAGUUGGUGAACACGUUGAAAAAGUGCUGUACAAAAACCUCCCUUCUUGCUUCUGAUGCAUCUGAGAGCACAGUUGCUAAAAUGAGAACAAAACCAGUGGUUAGCAAUGAGAAAUACACAGGUGCACGUGUUCUUUGAUAUAUUUAGUACAAUAUUUCACAAAUGUAGGCCUAUAGACCUAUACAUAUUUAAUCAAUAUCUCUAUAGAUAUGCAUGAUGUGGGAGUUGUUCAGUAUGCAAAGAUAAAACUCCAUUGUGUCACACAAA